rnacentral:lncRNA from 1 species
UUUGACCCUCAAACGGGCUGCGGAAAGUUAUGGCACGUAAAAAAGAUCGAAAGCGGAUUCUCAAGGUGUUUUUGAUGCUUUCUUAACGCCGUUAACCUCGAUGCACUUUUUCGCUCGAAACAAAACGGCAAGAAAAUCAUGUGGGCCCCACGGCCUUACACUUGGAUUGGCCGCGAAAAGGAUAUAUAGAAACGAGAGUGAUGUACUGACGGGUGCGAUCAUACCAGCACUAAUGCACCGGAUCCCAUCAGAACUCCGCAGCUAAGCGUGCUUGGGCGAGAGUAGUACUAGGAUGGGUGACCUCCCGGGAAGUCCUCGUGUUGCACCCCUUUUAUUUUUUAAUUUUUUUUAGCCUAAAACGAGUCUAAACUUGAAAACCCCAUAACUUUUGAACCGUGAGAAACUACGUCGCCCAUAGCACCAUUUCGGAAAGCCCCAGAAACCAUAAUGGGCGGUGAAUAGGGGGCGCAAUUUUUCGGGCUCAAAUUCAGCCGUUUUGACCCUCAAACGGGCUGCGGAAAGUUAUGGCACGUAAAAAAGAUCGAAAGCGGAUUCUCAAGGUGUUUUGAUGCUUUCUUAACGCCGUUAACCUCGAUGCACUUUUUCGCUCGAAACAAAACGGCAAGAAAAUCAUGCGCGGCCCCACGGCCUUACACUUGGAUUGGCCGCGAAAAGGAUAUAUAGAAACGAGAGUGAUGUACUGACGGGUGCGAUCAUACCAGCACUAAUGCACCGGAUCCCAUCAGAACUCCGCAGUUAAGCGUGCUUGGGCGAGAGUAGUACUAGGAUGGGUGACCUCCCGGGAAGUCCUCGUGUUGCACCCCUUUUUAUUUUUAAUUUUUUUUUAGCCUAAAACGAGUCUAAACUUGAAAACCUCAUAACUUUUGAACCGUGAGGAACUACGUCGCCCAUAGCACCAUUUCGGAAAGCCCCAGAAACCAUAAUGGGCGGUGAAUAGGGGGCGCAAUUUUUCGGGCUCAAAUUCAGCCGUUUUGACCCUCAAACGGGCUGCGGAAAGUUAUGGCACGUAAAAAAGAUCGAAAGCGGAUUCUCAAGGUGUUUUUGAUGCUUUCUUAACGCCGUUAACCUCGAUGCACUUUUUCGCUCGAAACAAAACGGCAAGAAAAUCAUGCGCGCCCCACGGCCUUACACUUGGAUUGGCCGCGAAAAGGAUAUAUAGAAACGAGAGUGAUGUACUGACGGGUGCGAUCAUACCAGCACUAAUGCACCGGAUCCCAUCAGAACUCCGCAGUUAAGCGUGCUUGGGCGAGAGUAGUACUAGGAUGGGUGACCUCCCGGGAAGUCCUCGUGUUGCACCCCUUUUAUUUUUAAUUUUUUUUUAGCCUAAAACGAGUCUAAACUUGAAAACCUCAUAACUUUUGAACCGUGAGGAACUACGUCGCCCAUAGCACCAUUUCGGAAAGCCCCAGAAACCAUAAUGGGCGGUGAAUAGGGGGCGCAAUUUUUCGGGCUCAAAUUCAGCCGUUUUGACCCUCAAACGGGCUGCGGAAAGUUAUGGCACGUAAAAAAGAUCGAAAGCGGAUUCUCAAGGUGUUUUUGAUGCUUUCUUAACGCCGUUAACCUCGAUGCACUUUUUCGCUCGAAACAAAACGGCAAGAAAAUCAUGUGCGGCCCACGGCCUUACACUUGGAUUGGCCGCGAAAAGGAUAUAUAGAAACGAGAGUGAUGUACUGACGGGUGCGAUCAUACCAGCACUAAUGCACCGGAUCCCAUCAGAACUCCGCAGUGAAGCGUGCUUGGGCGAGAGUAGUACUAGGAUGGGUGACCUCCCGGGAAGUCCUCGUGUUGCACCCCUUUUUAUUUUUAUUUUUUUUUUAGCCUAAAACGAGUCUAAACUUGAAAACCUCAUAACUUUUGAACCGUGAGGAACUACGUCGCCCAUAGCACCAUUUCGGAAAGCCCCAGAAACCAUAAUGGGCGGUGAAUAGGGGGCGCAAUUUUUCGGGCUCAAAUUCAGCCGUUUUGACCCUCAAACGGGCUGCGGAAAGUUAUGGCACGUAAAAAAGAUCGAAAGCGGAUUCUCAAGGUGUUUUUGAUGCUUUCUUAACGCCGUUAACCUCGAUGCACUUUUUCGCUCGAAACAAAACGGCAAGAAAAUCAUGUGGGCCCCACGGCCUUACACUUGGAUUGGCCGGGGAAAGGAUAUAUAGAAACGAGAGUGAUGUACUGACGGGUGCGAUCAUACCAGCACUAAUGCACCGGAUCCCAUCAGAACUCCGCAGUGAAGCGUGCUUGGGCGAGAGUAGUACUAGGAUGGGUGACCUCCCGGGAAGUCCUCGUGUUGCACCCCUUUUUAUUUUAUAAUUUUUUUUUAGCCUAAAACGAGUCUAAACUUGAAAACCUCAUAACUUUUGAACCGUGAGGAACUACGUCGCCCAUAGCACCAUUGAGAAAGCCCCAGAAACCAUAAUGGGCGGUGAAUAGGGGGCGCAAUUUUUCGGGCUCAAAUUCAGCCGUUUUGACCCUCAAACGGGCUGCGGAAAGUUAUGGCACGUAAAAAAGAUCGAAAGCGGAUUCUCAAGGUGUUUUUGAUGCUUUCUUAACGCCGUUAACCUCGAUGCACUUUUUCGCUCGAAACAAAACGGCAAGAAAAUCAUGCGCGCCCCACGGCCUUACACUUGGAUUGGCCGCGAAAAGGAUAUAUAGAAACGAGAGUGAUGUACUGACGGGUGCGAUCAUACCAGCACUAAUGCACCGGAUCCCAUCAGAACUCCGCAGUUAAGCGUGCUUGGGCGAGAGUAGUAGUACUAGGAUGGGUGACCUCCCGGGAAGUCCUCGUGUUGCACCCCUUUUUAUUUUUUAAUUUUUUUUUAGCCUAAAACGAGUCUAAACUUGAAAACCUCAUAACUUUUGAACCGUGAGGAACUACGUCGCCCAUAGCACCAUUUCGGAAAGCCCCAGAAACCAUAAUGGGCGGUGAAUAGGGGGCGCAAUUUUUCGGGCUCAAAUUCAGCCGUUUUGACCCUCAAACGGGCUGCGGAAAGUUAUGGCACGUAAAAAAGAUCGAAAGCGGAUUCUCAAGGUGUUUUUGAUGCUUUCUUAACGCCGUUAACCUCGAUGCACUUUUUCGCUCGAAACAAAACGGCAAGAAAAUCAUGCGCGCCCACGGCCUUACACUUGGAUUGGCCGCGAAAAGGAUAUAUAGAAACGAGAGUGAUGUACUGACGGGUGCGAUCAUACCAGCACUAAUGCACCGGAUCCCAUCAGAACUCCGCAGCUAAGCGUGCUUGGGCGAGAGUAGUACUAGGAUGGGUGACCUCCCGGGAAGUCCUCGUGUUGCACCCCUUUUAUUUUUUAAUUUUUUUUUAGCCUAAAACGAGUCUAAACUUGAAAACCCCAUAACUUUUGAACCGUGAGGAACUACGUCGCCCAUAGCACCAUUUCGGAAAGCCCCAGAAACCAUAAUGGGCGGUGAAUAGGGGGCGCAAUUUUUCGGGCUCAAAUUCAGCCGUUUUGACCCUCAAACGGGCUGCGGAAAGUUAUGGCACGUAAAAAAGAUCGAAAGCGGAUUCUCAAGGUGUUUUUGAUGCUUUCUUAACGCCGUUAACCUCGAUGCACUUUUUCGCUCGAAACAAAACGGCAAGAAAAUCAUGCGCGCCCCACGGCCUUACACUUGGAUUGGCCGCGAAAAGGAUAUAUAGAAACGAGAGUGAUGUACUGACGGGUGCGAUCAUACCAGCACUAAUGCACCGGAUCCCAUCAGAACUCCGCAGUUAAGCGUGCUUGGGCGAGAGUAGUACUAGGAUGGGUGACCUCCCGGGAAGUCCUCGUGUUGCACCCCUUUUUAUUUUUUAAUUUUUUUUUAGCCUAAAACGAGUCUAAACUUGAAAACCUCAUAACUUUUGAACCGUGAGGAACUACGUCGCCCAUAGCACCAUUUCGGAGAGCCCCAGAAACCAUAAUGGGCGGUGAAUAGGGGGGGCGCAAUUUUUCGGGCUCAAAUUCAGCCGUUUUGACCCUCAAACGGGCUGCGGAAAGUUAUGGCACGUAAAAAAGAUCGAAAGCGGAUUCUCAAGGUGUUUUUGAUGCUUUCUUAACGCCGUUAACCUCGAUGCACUUUUUCGCUCGAAACAAAACGGCAAGAAAAUCAUGCGCGCCCCACGGCCUUACACUUGGAUUGGCCGCGAAAAGGAUAUAUAGAAACGAGAGUGAUGUACUGACGGGUGCGAUCAUACCAGCACUAAUGCACCGGAUCCCAUCAGAACUCCGCAGUUAAGCGUGCUUGGGCGAGAGUAGUACUAGGAUGGGUGACCUCCCGGGAAGUCCUCGUGUUGCACCCCUUUUUAUUUUUAAUUUUUUUUUAGCCUAAAACGAGUCUAAACUUGAAAACCUCAUAACUUUUGAACCGUGAGGAACUACGUCGCCCAUAGCACCAUUUCGGAGAGCCCCAGAAACCAUAAUGGGCGGUGAAUAGGGGGCGCAAUUUUUCGGGCUCAAAUUCAGCCGUUUUGACCCUCAAACGGGCUGCGGAAAGUUAUGGCACGUAAAAAAGAUCGAAAGCGGAUUCUCAAGGUGUUUUUGAUGCUUUCUUAACGCCGUUAACCUCGAUGCACUUUUUCGCUCGAAACAAAACGGCAAGAAAAUCAUGCGCGCCCCACGGCCUUACACUUGGAUUGGCCGCGAAAAGGAUAUAUAGAAACGAGAGUGAUGUACUGACGGGUGCGAUCAUACCAGCACUAAUGCACCGGAUCCCAUCAGAACUCCGCAGUUAAGCGUGCUUGGGCGAGAGUAGUACUAGGAUGGGUGACCUCCCGGGAAGUCCUCGUGUUGCACCCCUUUUUAUUUUUUAAUUUUUUUUAGCCUAAAACGAGUCUAAACUUGAAAACCUCAUAACUUUUGAACCGUGAGGAACUACGUCGCCCAUAGCACCAUUUCGGAGAGCCCCAGAAACCAUAAUGGGCGGUGAAUAGGGGGCGCAAUUUUUCGGGCUCAAAUUCAGCCGUUUUGACCCUCAAACGGGCUGCGGAAAGUUAUGGCACGUAAAAAAGAUCGAAAGCGGAUUCUCAAGGUGUUUUUGAUGCUUUCUUAACGCCGUUAACCUCGAUGCACUUUUUCGCUCGAAACAAAACGGCAAGAAAAUCAUGCGCGCCCCACGGCCUUACACUUGGAUUGGCCGCGAAAAGGAUAUAUAGAAACGAGAGUGAUGUACUGACGGGUGCGAUCAUACCAGCACUAAUGCACCGGAUCCCAUCAGAACUCCGCAGUUAAGCGUGCUUGGGCGAGAGUAGUACUAGGAUGGGUGACCUCCGGGAAGUCCUCGUGUUGCACCCCUUUUUAUUUUUUAAUUUUUUUUAGCCUAAAACGAGUCUAAACUUGAAAACCUCAUAACUUUUGAACCGUGAGGAACUACGUCGCCCAUAGCACCAUUUCGGAGAGCCCCAGAAACCAUAAUGGGCGGUGAAUAGGGGGCGCAAUUUUUCGGGCUCAAAUUCAGCCGUUUUGACCCUCAAACGGGCUGCGGAAAGUUAUGGCACGUAAAAAAGAUCGAAAGCGGAUUCUCAAGGUGUUUUUGAUGCUUUCUUAACGCCGUUAACCUCGAUGCACUUUUUCGCUCGAAACAAAACGGCAAGAAAAUCAUGCGCGCCCCACGGCCUUACACUUGGAUUGGCCGCGAAAAGGAUAUAUAGAAACGAGAGUGAUGUACUGACGGGUGCGAUCAUACCAGCACUAAUGCACCGGAUCCCAUCAGAACUCCGCAGUUAAGCGUGCUUGGGCGAGAGUAGUACUAGGAUGGGUGACCUCCCGGGAAGUCCUCGUGUUGCACCCCUUUUUAUUUUUUAAUUUUUUUUUGCCUAAAACGAGUCUAAACUUGAAAACCUCAUAACUUUUGAACCGUGAGGAACUACGUCGCCCAUAGCACCAUUUCGGAGAGCCCCAGAAACCAUAAUGGGCGGUGAAUAGGGGGCGCAAUUUUUCGGGCUCAAAUUCAGCCGUUUUGACCCUCAAACGGGCUGCGGAAAGUUAUGGCACGUAAAAAAGAUCGAAAGCGGAUUCUCAAGGUGUUUUUGAUGCUUUCUUAACGCCGUUAACCUCGAUGCACUUUUUCGCUCGAAACAAAACGGCAAGAAAAUCAUGCGCGCCCCACGGCCUUACACUUGGAUUGGCCGCGAAAAGGAUAUAUAGAAACGAGAGUGAUGUACUGACGGGUGCGAUCAUACCAGCACUAAUGCACCGGAUCCCAUCAGAACUCCGCAGUUAAGCGUGCUUGGGCGAGAGUAGUACUAGGAUGGGUGACCUCCCGGGAAGUCCUCGUGUUGCACCCCUUUUUAUUUUUUAAUUUUUUUUUAGCCUAAAACGAGUCUAAACUUGAAAACCUCAUAACUUUUGAACCGUGAGGAACUACGUCGCCCAUAGCACCAUUUCGGAAAGCCCCAGAAACCAUAAUGGGCGGUGAAUAGGGGGCGCAAUUUUUCGGGCUCAAAUUCAGCCCGUUUUGACCCUCAAACGGGCUGCGGAAAGUUAUGGCACGUAAAAAAGAUCGAAAGCGGAUUCUCAAGGUGUUUUUGAUGCUUUCUUAACGCCGUUAACCUCGAUGCACUUUUUCGCUCGAAACAAAACGGCAAGAAAAUCAUGCGCGCCCCACGGCCUUACACUUGGAUUGGCCGCGAAAAGGAUAUAUAGAAACGAGAGUGAUGUACUGACGGGUGCGAUCAUACCAGCACUAAUGCACCGGAUCCCAUCAGAACUCCGCAGUUAAGCGUGCUUGGGCGAGAGUAGUACUAGGAUGGGUGACCUCCCGGGAAGUCCUCGUGUUGCACCCCUUUUUAUUUUUUAAUUUUUUUUAGCCUAAAACGAGUCUAAACUUGAAAACCUCAUAACUUUUGAACCGUGAGGAACUACGUCGCCCAUAGCACCAUUUCGGAGCCCCAGAAACCAUAAUGGGCGGGUGAAUAGGGGGCGCAAUUUUUCGGGCUCAAAUUCAGCCGUUUUGACCCUCAAACGGGCUGCGGAAAGUUAUGGCACGUAAAAAAGAUCGAAAGCGGAUUCUCAAGGUGUUUUUGAUGCUUUCUUAACGCCGUUAACCUCGAUGCACUUUUUCGCUCGAAACAAAACGGCAAGAAAAUCAUGCGCGCCCCACGGCCUUACACUUGGAUUGGCCGCGAAAAGGAUAUAUAGAAACGAGAGUGAUGUACUGACGGGUGCGAUCAUACCAGCACUAAUGCACCGGAUCCCAUCAGAACUCCGCAGUUAAGCGUGCUUGGGCGAGAGUAGUACUAGGAUGGGUGACCUCCCGGGAAGUCCUCGUGUUGCACCCCUUUUUAUUUUUUAAUUUUUUUUUAGCCUAAAACGAGUCUAAACUUGAAAACCUCAUAACUUUUGAACCGUGAGGAACUACGUCGCCCAUAGCACCAUUUCGGAGAGCCCCAGAAACCAUAAUGGGCGGUGAAUAGGGGGCGCAAUUUUUCGGGCUCAAAUUCAGCCGUUUUGACCCUCAAACGGGCUGCGGAAAGUUAUGGCACGUAAAAAAGAUCGAAAGCGGAUUCUCAAGGUGUUUUUGAUGCUUUCUUAACGCCGUUAACCUCGAUGCACUUUUUCGCUCGAAACAAAACGGCAAGAAAAUCAUGCGCGCCCCACGGCCUUACACUUGGAUUGGCCGCGAAAAGGAUAUAUAGAAACGAGAGUGAUGUACUGACGGGUGCGAUCAUACCAGCACUAAUGCACCGGAUCCCAUCAGAACUCCGCAGUUAAGCGUGCUUGGGCGAGAGUAGUACUAGGAUGGGUGACCUCCCGGGAAGUCCUCGUGUUGCACCCCUUUUUAUUUUUUAAUUUUUUUUUAGCCUAAAACGAGUCUAAACUUGAAAACCUCAUAACUUUUGAACCGUGAGGAACUACGUCGCCCAUAGCACCAUUUCGGAGAGCCCCAGAAACCAUAAUGGGCGGUGAAUAGGGGGCGCAAUUUUUCGGGCUCAAAUUCAGCCGUUUUGACCCUCAAACGGGCUGCGGAAAGUUAUGGCACGUAAAAAAGAUCGAAAGCGGAUUCUCAAGGUGUUUUUGAUGCUUUCUUAACGCCGUUAACCUCGAUGCACUUUUUCGCUCGAAACAAAACGGCAAGAAAAUCAUGCGCGCCCCACGGCCUUACACUUGGAUUGGCCGCGAAAAGGAUAUAUAGAAACGAGAGUGAUGUACUGACGGGUGCGAUCAUACCAGCACUAAUGCACCGGAUCCCAUCAGAACUCCGCAGUUAAGCGUGCUUGGGCGAGAGUAGUACUAGGAUGGGUGACCUCCCGGGAAGUCCUCGUGUUGCACCCCUUUUUUAUUUUUUAAUUUUUUUUAGCCUAAAACGAGUCUAAACUUGAAAACCUCAUAACUUUUGAACCGUGAGGAACUACGUCGCCCAUAGCACCAUUUCGGAAAGCCCCAGAAACCAUAAUGGGCGGUGAAUAGGGGGCGCAAUUUUUCGGGCUCAAAUUCAGCCGUUUUGACCCUCAAACGGGCUGCGGAAAGUUAUGGCACGUAAAAAAGAUCGAAAGCGGAUUCUCAAGGUGUUUUUGAUGCUUUCUUAACGCCGUUAACCUCGAUGCACUUUUUCGCUCGAAACAAAACGGCAAGAAAAUCAUGCGCGCCCCACGGCCUUACACUUGGAUUGGCCGCGAAAAGGAUAUAUAGAAACGAGAGUGAUGUACUGACGGGUGCGAUCAUACCAGCACUAAUGCACCGGAUCCCAUCAGAACUCCGCAGUUAAGCGUGCUUGGGCGAGAGUAGUACUAGGAUGGGUGACCUCCCGGGAAGUCCUCGUGUUGCACCCCUUUUUUUUUUUAAUUUUUUUUUAGCCUAAAACGAGUCUAAACUUGAAAACCUCAUAACUUUUGAACCGUGAGGAACUACGUCGCCCAUAGCACCAUUUCGGAGAGCCCCAGAAACCAUAAUGGGCGGUGAAUAGGGGGCGCAAUUUUUCGGGCUCAAAUUCAGCCGUUUUGACCCUCAAACGGGCUGCGGAAAGUUAUGGCACGUAAAAAAGAUCGAAAGCGGAUUCUCAAGGUGUUUUGAUGCUUUCUUAACGCCGUUAACCUCGAUGCACUUUUUCGCUCGAAACAAAACGGCAAGAAAAUCAUGUGGGCCCCACGGCCUUACACUUGGAUUGGCCGCGAAAAGGAUAUAUAGAAACGAGAGUGAUGUACUGACGGGUGCGAUCAUACCAGCACUAAUGCACCGGAUCCCAUCAGAACUCCGCAGUUAAGCGUGCUUGGGCGAGAGUAGUACUAGGAUGGGUGACCUCCCGGGAAGUCCUCGUGUUGCACCCCUUUUUAUUUUUUAAUUUUUUUUUAGCCUAAAACGAGUCUAAACUUGAAAACCUCAUAACUUUUGAACCGUGAGGAACUACGUCGCCCAUAGCACCAUUUCGGAGAGCCCCAGAAACCAUAAUGGGGCGGUGAAUAGGGGGCGCAAUUUUUCGGGCUCAAAUUCAGCCGUUUUGACCCUCAAACGGGCUGCGGAAAGUUAUGGCACGUAAAAAAGAUCGAAAGCGGAUUCUCAAGGUGUUUUUGAUGCUUUCUUAACGCCGUUAACCUCGAUGCACUUUUUCGCUCGAAACAAAACGGCAAGAAAAUCAUGCGCGCCCCACGGCCUUACACUUGGAUUGGCCGCGAAAAGGAUAUAUAGAAACGAGAGUGAUGUACUGACGGGUGCGAUCAUACCAGCACUAAUGCACCGGAUCCCAUCAGAACUCCGCAGUUAAGCGUGCUUGGGCGAGAGUAGUACUAGGAUGGGUGACCUCCCGGGAAGUCCUCGUGUUGCACCCCUUUUUAUUUUUUAUUUUUUUUUUAGCCUAAAACGAGUCUAAACUUGAAAACCUCAUAACUUUUGAACCGUGAGGAACUACGUCGCCCAUAGCACCAUUUCGGAAGAGCCCCAGAAACCAUAAUGGGCGGUGAAUAGGGGGCGCAAUUUUUCGGGCUCAAAUUCAGCCGUUUUGACCCUCAAACGGGCUGCGGAAAGUUAUGGCACGUAAAAAAGAUCGAAAGCGGAUUCUCAAGGUGUUUUUGAUGCUUUCUUAACGCCGUUAACCUCGAUGCACUUUUUCGCUCGAAACAAAACGGCAAGAAAAUCAUGCGCGCCCCACGGCCUUACACUUGGAUUGGCCGCGAAAAGGAUAUAUAGAAACGAGAGUGAUGUACUGACGGGUGCGAUCAUACCAGCACUAAUGCACCGGAUCCCAUCAGAACUCCGCAGCUAAGCGUGCUUGGGCGAGAGUAGUACUAGGAUGGGUGACCUCCCGGGAAGUCCUCGUGUUGCACCCCUUUUUAUUUUUUAAUUUUUUUUUUUGCCUAAAACGAGUCUAAACUUGAAAACCUCAUAACUUUUGAACCGUGAGGAACUACGUCGCCCAUAGCACCAUUUCGGAGAGCCCCAGAAACCAUAAUGGGCGGUGAAUAGGGGGCGCAAUUUUUCGGGCUCAAAUUCAGCCGUUUUGACCCUCAAACGGGCUGCGGAAAGUUAUGGCACGUAAAAAAGAUCGAAAGCGGAUUCUCAAGGUGUUUUUGAUGCUUUCUUAACGCCGUUAACCUCGAUGCACUUUUUCGCUCGAAACAAAACGGCAAGAAAAUCAUGCGCGCCCCACGGCCUUACACUUGGAUUGGCCGCGAAAAGGAUAUAUAGAAACGAGAGUGAUGUACUGACGGGUGCGAUCAUACCAGCACUAAUGCACCGGAUCCCAUCAGAACUCCGCAGUUAAGCGUGCUUGGGCGAGAGUAGUACUAGGAUGGGUGACCUCCCGGGAAGUCCUCGUGUUGCACCCCUUUUUAUUUUUUAAUUUUUUUUUAGCCUAAAACGAGUCUAAACUUGAAAACCUCAUAACUUUUGAACCGUGAGGAACUACGUCGCCCAUAGCACCAUUUCGGAGAGCCCCAGAAACCAUAAUGGGCGGUGAAUAGGGGGCGCAAUUUUUCGGGCUCAAAUUCAGCCGUUUUGACCCUCAAACGGGCUGCGGAAAGUUAUGGCACGUAAAAAAGAUCGAAAGCGGAUUCUCAAGGUGUUUUUGAUGCUUUCUUAACGCCGUUAACCUCGAUGCACUUUUUCGCUCGAAACAAAACGGCAAGAAAAUCAUGCGCGCCCCACGGCCUUACACUUGGAUUGGCCGCGAAAAGGAUAUAUAGAAACGAGAGUGAUGUACUGACGGGUGCGAUCAUACCAGCACUAAUGCACCGGAUCCCAUCAGAACUCCGCAGUUAAGCGUGCUUGGGCGAGAGUAGUACUAGGAUGGGUGACCUCCCGGGAAGUCCUCGUGUUGCACCCCUUUUUAUUUUUUAAUUUUUUUUAGCCUAAAACGAGUCUAAACUUGAAAACCUCAUAACUUUUGAACCGUGAGGAACUACGUCGCCCAUAGCACCAUUUCGGAGAGCCCCAGAAACCAUAAUGGGCGGUGAAUAGGGGGCGCAAUUUUUCGGGCUCAAAUUCAGCCGUUUUGACCCUCAAACGGGCUGCGGAAAGUUAUGGCACGUAAAAAAGAUCGAAAGCGGAUUCUCAAGGUGUUUUUGAUGCUUUCUUAACGCCGUUAACCUCGAUGCACUUUUUCGCUCGAAACAAAACGGCAAGAAAAUCAUGCGCGCCCACGGCCUUACACUUGGAUUGGCCGCGAAAAGGAUAUAUAGAAACGAGAGUGAUGUACUGACGGGUGCGAUCAUACCAGCACUAAUGCACCGGAUCCCAUCAGAACUCCGCAGUAAGCGUGCUUGGGCGAGAGUAGUACUAGGAUGGGUGACCUCCCGGGAAGUCCUCGUGUUGCACCCCUUUUUAUUUUUUAAUUUUUUUUUAGCCUAAAACGAGUCUAAACUUGAAAACCUCAUAACUUUUGAACCGUGAGGAACUACGUCGCCCAUAGCACCAUUUCGGAGAGCCCCAGAAACCAUAAUGGGCGGUGAAUAGGGGGCGCAAUUUUUCGGGCUCAAAUUCAGCCGUUUUGACCCUCAAACGGGCUGCGGAAAGUUAUGGCACGUAAAAAAGAUCGAAAGCGGAUUCUCAAGGUGUUUUUGAUGCUUUCUUAACGCCGUUAACCUCGAUGCACUUUUUCGCUCGAAACAAAACGGCAAGAAAAUCAUGCGCGCCCCACGGCCUUACACUUGGAUUGGCCGCGAAAAGGAUAUAUAGAAACGAGAGUGAUGUACUGACGGGUGCGAUCAUACCAGCACUAAUGCACCGGAUCCCAUCAGAACUCCGCAGUUAAGCGUGCUUGGGCGAGAGUAGUACUAGGAUGGGUGACCUCCCGGGAAGUCCUCGUGUUGCACCCCUUUUUAUUUUUAAUUUUUUUUUAGCCUAAAACGAGUCUAAACUUGAAAACCUCAUAACUUUUGAACCGUGAGGAACUACGUCGCCCAUAGCACCAUUUCGGAAAGCCCCAGAAACCAUAAUGGGCGGUGAAUAGGGGGCGCAAUUUUUCGGGCUCAAAUUCAGCCGUUUUGACCCUCAAACGGGCUGCGGAAAGUUAUGGCACGUAAAAAAGAUCGAAAGCGGAUUCUCAAGGUGUUUUUGAUGCUUUCUUAACGCCGUUAACCUCGAUGCACUUUUUCGCUCGAAACAAAACGGCAAGAAAAUCAUGCGCGCCCCACGGCCUUACACUUGGAUUGGCCGCGAAAAGGAUAUAUAGAAACGAGAGUGAUGUACUGACGGGUGCGAUCAUACCAGCACUAAUGCACCGGAUCCCAUCAGAACUCCGCAGUUAAGCGUGCUUGGCGCGAGAGUAGUACUAGGAUGGGUGACCUCCCGGGAAGUCCUCGUGUUGCACCCCUUUUUAUUUUUUAAUUUUUUUUUGCCUAAAACGAGUCUAAACUUGAAAACCUCAUAACUUUUGAACCGUGAGGAACUACGUCGCCCAUAGCACCAUUUCGGAGAGCCCCAGAAACCAUAAUGGGCGGUGAAUAGGGGGCGCAAUUUUUCGGGCUCAAAUUCAGCCGUUUUGACCCUCAAACGGGCUGCGGAAAGUUAUGGCACGUAAAAAAGAUCGAAAGCGGAUUCUCAAGGUGUUUUUGAUGCUUUCUUAACGCCGUUAACCUCGAUGCACUUUUUCGCUCGAAACAAAACGGCAAGAAAAUCAUGCGCGCCCACGGCCUUACACUUGGAUUGGCCGCGAAAAGGAUAUAUAGAAACGAGAGUGAUGUACUGACGGGUGCGAUCAUACCAGCACUAAUGCACCGGAUCCCAUCAGAACUCCGCAGUUAAGCGUGCUUGGGCGAGAGUAGUACUAGGAUGGGUGACCUCCCGGGAAGUCCUCGUGUUGCACCCCUUUUAUUUUUUAAUUUUUUUUUGCCUAAAACGAGUCUAAACUUGAAAACCUCAUAACUUUUGAACCGUGAGGAACUACGUCGCCCAUAGCACCAUUUCGGAGAGCCCCAGAAACCAUAAUGGGCGGGUGAAUAGGGGGCGCAAUUUUUCGGGCUCAAAUUCAGCCGUUUUGACCCUCAAACGGGCUGCGGAAAGUUAUGGCACGUAAAAAAGAUCGAAAGCGGAUUCUCAAGGUGUUUUUGAUGCUUUCUUAACGCCGUUAACCUCGAUGCACUUUUUCGCUCGAAACAAAACGGCAAGAAAAUCAUGCGCGCCCCACGGCCUUACACUUGGAUUGGCCGCGAAAAGGAUAUAUAGAAACGAGAGUGAUGUACUGACGGGUGCGAUCAUACCAGCACUAAUGCACCGGAUCCCAUCAGAACUCCGCAGUUAAGCGUGCUUGGGCGAGAGUAGUACUAGGAUGGGUGACCUCCCGGGAAGUCCUCGUGUUGCACCCCUUUUUUUUUAAAUUUUUUUUUAGCCUAAAACGAGUCUAAACUUGAAAACCUCAUAACUUUUGAACCGUGAGGAACUACGUCGCCCAUAGCACCAUUUCGGAGAGCCCCAGAAACCAUAAUGGGCGGGGAAUAGGGGGCGCAAUUUUUCGGGCUCAAAUUCAGCCGUUUUGACCCUCAAACGGGCUGCGGAAAGUUAUGUCACGUAAAAAAGAUCGAAAGCGGAUUCUCAAGGUGUUUUUGAUGCUUUCUUAACGCCGUUAACCUCGAUGCACUUUUUCGCUCGAAACAAAACGGCAAGAAAAUCAUGCGCGCCCCACGGCCUUACACUUGGAUUGGCCGCGAAAAGGAUAUAUAGAAACGAGAGUGAUGUACUGACGGGUGCGAUCAUACCAGCACUAAUGCACCGGAUCCCAUCAGAACUCCGCAGUUAAGCGUGCUUGGGCGAGAGUAGUACUAGGAUGGGUGACCUCCCGGGAAGUCCUCGUGUUGCACCCCUUUUUAUUUUUUAAUUUUUUUUUGCCUAAAACGAGUCUAAACUUGAAAACCUCAUAACUUUUGAACCGUGAGGAACUACGUCGCCCAUAGCACCAUUUCGGAGAGCCCCAGAAACCAUAAUGGGCGGUGAAUAGGGGGCGCAAUUUUUCGGGCUCAAAUUCAGCCGUUUUGACCCUCAAACGGGCUGCGGAAAGUUAUGGCACGUAAAAAAGAUCGAAAGCGGAUUCUCAAGGUGUUUUUGAUGCUUUCUUAACGCCGUUAACCUCGAUGCACUUUUUCGCUCGAAACAAAACGGCAAGAAAAUCAUGCGCGCCCCACGGCCUUACACUUGGAUUGGCCGCGAAAAGGAUAUAUAGAAACGAGAGUGAUGUACUGACGGGUGCGAUCAUACCAGCACUAAUGCACCGGAUCCCAUCAGAACUCCGCAGUUAAGCGUGCUUGGGCGAGAGUAGUACUAGGAUGGGUGACCUCCCGGGAAGUCCUCGUGUUGCACCCCUUUUUUUUUUUAAUUUUUUUUUAGCCUAAAACGAGUCUAAACUUGAAAACCUCAUAACUUUUGAACCGUGAGGAACUACGUCGCCCAUAGCACCAUUUCGGAGAGCCCCAGAAACCAUAAUGGGCGGUGAAUAGGGGGCGCAAUUUUUCGGGCUCAAAUUCAGCCGUUUUGACCCUCAAACGGGCUGCGGAAAGUUAUGGCACGUAAAAAAGAUCGAAAGCGGAUUCUCAAGGUGUUUUUGAUGCUUUCUUAACGCCGUUAACCUCGAUGCACUUUUUCGCUCGAAACAAAACGGCAAGAAAAUCAUGCGCGCCCCACGGCCUUACACUUGGAUUGGCCGCGAAAAGGAUAUAUAGAAACGAGAGUGAUGUACUGACGGGUGCGAUCAUACCAGCACUAAUGCACCGGAUCCCAUCAGAACUCCGCAGUUAAGCGUGCUUGGGCGAGAGUAGUACUAGGAUGGGUGACCUCCCGGGAAGUCCUCGUGUUGCACCCCUUUUUAUUUUUUAAUUUUUUUUUAGCCUAAAACGAGUCUAAACUUGAAAACCUCAUAACUUUUGAACCGUGAGGAACUACGUCGCCCAUAGCACCAUUUCGGAAGCCCAGAAACCAUAAUGGGCGGUGAAUAGGGGGCGCAAUUUUUCGGGCUCAAAUUCAGCCGUUUUGACCCUCAAACGGGCUGCGGAAAGUUAUGGCACGUAAAAAAGAUCGAAAGCGGAUUCUCAAGGUGUUUUUGAUGCUUUCUUAACGCCGUUAACCUCGAUGCACUUUUUCGCUCGAAACAAAACGGCAAGAAAAUCAUGCGCGCCCCACGGCCUUACACUUGGAUUGGCCGCGAAAAGGAUAUAUAGAAACGAGAGUGAUGUACUGACGGGUGCGAUCAUACCAGCACUAAUGCACCGGAUCCCAUCAGAACUCCGCAGUUAAGCGUGCUUGGGCGAGAGUAGUACUAGGAUGGGUGACCUCCCGGGAAGUCCUCGUGUUGCACCCCUUUUUAUUUUUUAAUUUUUUUUUAGCCUAAAACGAGUCUAAACUUGAAAACCUCAUAACUUUUGAACCGUGAGGAACUACGUCGCCCAUAGCACCAUUUCGGAAGCCCCAGAAACCAUAAUGGGCGGUGAAUAGGGGGCGCAAUUUUUCGGGCUCAAAUUCAGCCGUUUUGACCCUCAAACGGGCUGCGGAAAGUUAUGGCACGUAAAAAAGAUCGAAAGCGGAUUCUCAAGGUUGUUUUGAUGCUUUCUUAACGCCGUUAACCUCGAUGCACUUUUUCGCUCGAAACAAAACGGCAAGAAAAUCAUGCGCGCCCCACGGCCUUACACUUGGAUUGGCCGCGAAAAGGAUAUAUAGAAACGAGAGUGAUGUACUGACGGGUGCGAUCAUACCAGCACUAAUGCACCGGAUCCCAUCAGAACUCCGCAGUUAAGCGUGCUUGGGCGAGAGUAGUACUAGGAUGGGUGACCUCCCGGGAAGUCCUCGUGUUGCACCCCUUUUUAUUUUUUAAUUUUUUUUUAGCCUAAAACGAGUCUAAACUUGAAAACCUCAUAACUUUUGAACCGUGAGGAACUACGUCGCCCAUAGCACCAUUUCGGAAGCCCCAGAAACCAUAAUGGGCGGUGAAUAGGGGGCGCAAUUUUUCGGGCUCAAAUUCAGCCGUUUUGACCCUCAAACGGGCUGCGGAAAGUUAUGGCACGUAAAAAAGAUCGAAAGCGGAUUCUCAAGGUGUUUUUGAUGCUUUCUUAACGCCGUUAACCUCGAUGCACUUUUUCGCUCGAAACAAAACGGCAAGAAAAUCAUGCGCGCCCCACGGCCUUACACUUGGAUUGGCCGCGAAAAGGAUAUAUAGAAACGAGAGUGAUGUACUGACGGGUGCGAUCAUACCAGCACUAAUGCACCGGAUCCCAUCAGAACUCCGCAGUUAAGCGUGCUUGGGCGAGAGUAGUACUAGGAUGGGUGACCUCCCGGGAAGUCCUCGUGUUGCACACCUUUUUAUUUUAUAAUUUUUUUUAGCCUAAAACGAGUCUAAACAUGAAAACCUCAUAAAUUUUGAACCGUGAGGAACUACGUCGCCCAUAGCACCAUUGAAAAAGCCCCAGAAACCAUAAUGGGCGGUGAAUAGGGGGCGCAAUGUUUCGGGCUGAAAUUCAGCCGUUUUGACCCUCAAACGGGCUGCGGAAAGUUAUGGCACGUAAAAAAGAUCGAAAGCGGAUUCUCAAGGUGUUUUUGAUGCUUUCUUAACGCCGUUAACCUCGAUGCACUUUUUCGCUCGAAACAAAACGGCAAGAAAAUCAUGCGCGCCCCACGGCCUUACACUUGGAUUGGCCGCGAAAAGGAUAUAUAGAAACGAGAGUGAUGUACUGACGGGUGCGAUCAUACCAGCACUAAUGCACCGGAUCCCAUCAGAACUCCGCAGUUAAGCGUGCUUGGGCGAGAGUAGUACUAGGAUGGGUGACCUCCCGGGAAGUCCUCGUGUUGCACCCCUUUUUAUUUUUUAAUUUUUUUUUAGCCUAAAACGAGUCUAAACUUGAAAACCUCAUAACUUUUGAACCUUGAGGAACUACGUCGCCCAUAGCACCAUUUCGGAAAGCCCCAUAAAACCAUAAUGGGCGGUGAAUAGGGGGCGCAAUUUUUCGGGCUCAAAUUCAGCCGUUUUGACCCUCAAACGGGCUGCGGAAAGUUAUGGCACGUAAAAAAGAUCGAAAGCGGAUUUUCAAGGUGUUUUUGAUGCUUUCUUAACGCCGUUAACCUCGAUGCACUUUUUCGCUCGAAACAAAACGGCAAGAAAAUCAUGCGCGCCCCACGGCCUUACACUUGGAUUGGCCGCGAAAAGGAUAUAUAGAAACGAGAGUGAUGUACUGACGGGUGCGAUCAUACCAGCACUAAUGCACCGGAUCCCAUCAGAACUCCGCAGUUAAGCGUGCUUGGGCGAGAGAGUAGUACUAGGAUGGGUGACCUCCCGGGAAGUCCUCGUGUUGCACCCCUUUUUAUUUUUUAAUUUUUUUUUAGCCUAAAACGAGUCUAAACUUGAAAACCUCAUAACUUUUGAACCGUGAGGAACUACGUCGCCCAUAGCACCAUUUCGGAGAGCCCCAGAAACCAUAAUGGGCGGUGAAUAGGGGGCGCAAUUUUUCGGGCUCAAAUUCAGCCGUUUUGACCCUCAAACGGGCUGCGGAAAGUUAUGGCACGUAAAAAAGAUCGAAAGCGGAUUCUCAAGGUGUUUUUGAUGCUUUCUUAACGCCGUUAACCUCGAUGCACUUUUUCGCUCGAAACAAAACGGCAAAAAAAAUCAUGUGGGCCCCACGGCCUUACACUUGGAUUGGCCGCGAAAAGGAUAUAUAGAAACGAGAGUGAUGUACUGACGGGUGCGAUCAUACCAGCACUAAUGCACCGGAUCCCAUCAGAACUCCGCAGUUAAGCGUGCUUGGGCGAGAGUAGUACUAGGAUGGGUGACCUCCCGGGAAGUCCUCGUGUUGCACCCCUUUUUAUUUUUUAAUUUUUUUUUUUGCCUAAAACGAGUCUAAACUUGAAAACCUCAUAACUUUUGAACCGUGAGGAACUACGUCGCCCAUAGCACCAUUUCGGAAAGCCCCAGAAACCAUAAUGGGCGGUGAAUAGGGGGCGCAAUUUUUCGGGCUCAAAUUCAGCCGUUUUGACCCUCAAACGGGCUGCGGAAAGUUAUGGCACGUAAAAAAGAUCGAAAGCGGAUUCUCAAGGUGUUUUGAUGCUUUCUUAACGCCGUUAACCUCGAUGCACUUUUUCGCUCGAAACAAAACGGCAAGAAAAUCAUGCGCGCCCCACGGCCUUACACUUGGAUUGGCCGCGAAAAGGAUAUAUAGAAACGAGAGUGAUGUACUGACGGGUGCGAUCAUACCAGCACUAAUGCACCGGAUCCCAUCAGAACUCCGCAGUUAAGCGUGCUUGGGCGAGAGUAGUACUAGGAUGGGUGACCUCCCGGGAAGUCCUUGUGUUGCACCCCUUUUAAUUUUUUAAUUUUUUUUUAGCCUAAAACGAGUCUAAACUUGAAAACCUCAUAACUUUUGAACCGUGAGGAACUACGUCGCCCAUAGCACCAUUUCGGAGAGCCCCAGAAACCAUAAUGGGCGGUGAAUAGGGGCGCAAUUUUUCGGGCUCAAAUUCAGCCGUUUUGACCCUCAAACGGGCUGCGGAAAGUUAUGGCACGUAAAAAAGAUCGAAAGCGGAUUCUCAAGGUGCUUUUGAUGCUUUCUUAACGCCGUUAACCUCGAUGCACUUUUUCGCUCGAAACAAAACGGCAAGAAAAUCAUGCGCGCCCCACGGCCUUACACUUGGAUUGGCCGCGAAAAGGAUAUAUAGAAACGAGAGUGAUGUACUGACGGGUGCGAUCAUACCAGCACUAAUGCACCGGAUCCCAUCAGAACUCCGCAGUUAAGCGUGCUUGGGCGAGAGUAGUACUAGGAUGGGUGACCUCCCGGGAAGUCCUCGUGUUGCACCCCUUUUAUUUUUUAAUUUUUUUUUGCCUAAAACGAGUCUAAACUUGAAAACCUCAUAACUUUUGAACCGUGAGGAACUACGUCGCCCAUAGCACCAUUUCGGAGAGCCCCAGAAACCAUAAUGGGCGGUGAAUAGGGGGCGCAAUUUUUCGGGCUCAAAUUCAGCCGUUUUGACCCUCAAACGGGCUGCGGGGAAAGUUAUGGCACGUAAAAAAGAUCGAAAGCGGAUUCUCAAGGUGCUUUUGAUGCUUUCUUAACGCCGUUAACCUCGAUGCACUUUUUCGCUCGAAACAAAACGGCAAGAAAAUCAUGCGCGCCCCACGGCCUUACACUUGGAUUGGCCGCGAAAAGGAUAUAUAGAAACGAGAGUGAUGUACUGACGGGUGCGAUCAUACCAGCACUAAUGCACCGGAUCCCAUCAGAACUCCGCAGUAAGCGUGCUUGGGCGAGAGUAGUACUAGGAUGGGUGACCUCCCGGGAAGUCCUCGUGUUGCACCCCUUUUUAUUUUUUAAUUUUUUUUUAGCCUAAAACGAGUCUAAACUUGAAAACCUCAUAACUUUUGAACCGUGAGGAACUACGUCGCCCAUAGCACCAUUUCGGAAAGCCCCAGAAACCAUAAUGGGCGGUGAAUAGGGGGCGCAAUUUUUCGGGCUCAAAUUCAGCCGUUUUGACCCUCAGACGGGCUGCGGAAAGUUAUGGCACGUAAAAAAGAUCGAAAGCGGAUUCUCAAGUGUUUUGUGUGCUUUCUUAACGCCGUUAACCUCGAUGCACUUUUUCGCUCGAAACAAAACGGCAAGAAAAUCAUGCGCGCCCCACGGCCUUACACUUGGAUUGGCCGCGAAAAGGAUAUAUAGAAACGAGAGUGAUGUACUGACGGGUGCGAUCAUACCAGCACUAAUGCACCGGAUCCCAUCAGAACUCCGCAGUUAAGCGUGCUUGGGCGAGAGUAGUACUAGGAUGGGUGACCUCCCGGGAAGUCCUCGUGUUGCACCCCUUUUUUUUUUUAAUUUUUUUUUAGCCUAAAACGAGUCUAAACUUGAAAACCUCAUAACUUUUGAACCGUGAGGAACUACGUCGCCCAUAGCACCAUUUCGGAAAGCCCCAGAAACCAUAAUGGGCGGUGAAUAGGGGGCGCAAUUUUUCGGGCUCAAAUUCAGCCGUUUUGACCCUCAAACGGGCUGCGGAAAGUUAUGGCACGUAAAAAAGAUCGAACUAUGGAUUCUGAAGGUGUUUUUGAUGCUUUCUUAACGCCGUUAACCUCGAUGCACUUUUUCGCUCGAAACAAAACGGCAAGAAAAUCAUGCGCGCCCCACGGCCUUACACUUGGAUUGGCCGCGAAAAGGAUAUAUAGAAACAAGAGUGAUGUACUGUCGGGUGCGAUCAUACCAGCACUAAUGCACCGGAUCCCAUCAGAACUCCGCAGUUAAGCGUGCUUGGGCGAGAGUAGUACUAGGAUGGGUGACCUCCCGGGAAGUCCUCGUGUUGCACCCCUUUUUUUUUUUAAUUUUUUUUUGCCUAAAACGAGUCUAAACUGAAAACCCAUAACUUUUGAACCGUGAGGAACUACGUCGCCCAUAGCACCAUUUCGGAAGAGCCCCAGAAACCAUAAUGGGCGGUGAAUAGGGGGCGCAAUUUUUCGGGCUCAAAUUCAGCCGUUUUGACCCUCAAACGGGCUGCGGAAAGUUAUGGCACGUAAAAAAGAUCGAAAGCGGAUUCUCAAGGUGUUUUUGAUGCUUUCUUAACGCCGUUAACCUCGAUGCACUUUUUUUCGCUCGAAACAAAACGGCAAGAAAAUCAUGCGCGCCCCACGGCCUUACACUUGGAUUGGCCGCGAAAAGGAUAUAUAGAAACGAGAGUGAUGUACUGACGGGUGCGAUCAUACCAGCACUAAUGCACCGGAUCCCAUCAGAACUCCGCAGUCAAGCGUGCUUGGGCGAGAGUAGUACUAGGAUGGGUGACCUCCCGGGAAGUCCUCGUGUUGCACCCCUUUUUAUUUUUUUAAUUUUUUUUUAGCCUAAAACGAGUCUAAACUUGAAAACCUCAUAACUUUUGAACCGUGAGGAACUACGUCGCCCAUAGCACCAUUUCGGAGAGCCCCAGAAACCAUAAUGGGCGGUGAAUAGGGGGCGCAAUUUUUCGGGCUCAAAUUCAGCCGUUUUGACCCUCAAACGGGCUGCGGAAAGUUAUGGCACGUAAAAAAGAUCGAAAGCGGAUUCUCAAGUGUUUUUGAUGCUUUCUUAACGCCGUUAACCUCGAUGCACUUUUUCGCUCGAAACAAAACGGCAAGAAAAUCAUGCGCGCCCCACGGCCUUACACUUGGAUUGGCGCGAAAAGGAUAUAUAGAAACGAGAGUGAUGUACUGACGGGUGCGAUCAUACCAGCACUAAUGCACCGGAUCCCAUCAGAACUCCGCAGUUAAGCGUGCUUGGGCGAGAGUAGUACUAGGAUGGGUGACCUCCCGGGAAGUCCUCGUGUGUUGCACCCCUUUUUAUUUUUAAUUUUUUUUAGCCUAAAACGAGUCUAAACUUGAAAACCUCAUAACUUUUGAACCGUGAGGAACUACGUCGCCCAUAGCACCAUUUCGGAAAGCCCCAGAAACCAUAAUGGGCGGUGAAUAGGGGGCGCAAUUUUUCGGGCUCAAAUUCAGCCGUUUUGACCCUCAAACGGGCUGCGGAAAGUUAUGGCACGUAAAAAAGAUCGAAAGCGGAUUCUCAAGGUGUUUUUGAUGCUUUCUUAACGCCGUUAACCUCGAUGCACUUUUUCGCUCGAAACAAAACGGCAAGAAAAUCAUGCGCGCCCACGGCCUUACACUUGGAUUGGCCGCGAAAAGGAUAUAUAGAAAGAAACGAGUGAUGUACUGACGGGUGCGAUCAUACCAGCACUAAUGCACCGGAUCCCAUCAGAACUCCGCAGUUAAGCGUGCUUGGGCGAGAGUAGUACUAGGAUGGGUGACCUCCCGGGAAGUCCUCGUGUUGCACCCCUUUUUAUUUUUUAAUUUUUUUUUAGCCUAAACGAGUCUAAACUUGAAAACCUCAUAACUUUUGAACCGUGAGGAACUACGUCGCCCAUAGCACCAUUUCGGAAAGCCCCAGAAACCAUAAUGGGCGGGUGAAUAGGGGGCGCAAUUUUUCGGGCUCAAAUUCAGCCGUUUUGACCCUCAAACGGGCUGCGGAAAGUUAUGGCACGUAAAAAAGAUCGAAAGCGGAUUCUCAAGGUGUUUUGAUGCUUUCUUAACGCCGUUAACCUCGAUGCACUUUUUCGCUCGAAACAAACGGCAAGAAAAUCAUGCGCGCCCCACGGCCUUACACUUGGAUUGGCCGCGAAAAGGAUAUAUAGAAACGAGAGUGAUGUACUGACGGGUGCGAUCAUACCAGCACUAAUGCACCGGAUCCAUCAGAACUCCGCAGUUAAGCGUGCUUGGGCGAGAGUAGUACUAGGAUGGGUGACCUCCCGGGAAGUCCUCGUGUUGCACCCCUUUUUAUUUUUUAAUUUUUUUUUAGCCUAAAACGAGUCUAAACUUGAAAACCCCAUAACUUUUGAACCGUGAGGAACUACGUCGCCCAUAGCACCAUUUCGGAAAGCCCCAGAAACCAUAAUGGGCGGUGAAUAGGGGGCGCAAUUUUUCGGGCUCAAAUUCAGCCGUUUUGACCCUCAAACGGGCUGCGGAAAGUUAUGGCAGAAAAAAAAAGACCGAAAGCGGAUUUUCAAGGUGUUUUUGAUGCUUUCUUAACGCCGUUAACCUCGAUGCACUUUUUCGCUCGAAACAAAACGGCAAGAAAAUCAUGCGCGCCCCACGGCCUUACACUUGGAUUGGCCGCGAAAAGGAUAUAUAGAAACGAGAGUGAUGUACUGUCGGGUGCGAUCAUACCAGCACUAAUGCACCGGAUCCCAUCAGAACUCCGCAGUUAAGCGUGCUUGGGCGAGAGUAGUACUAGGAUGGGUGACCUCCCGGGAAGUCCUCGUGUUGCACCCCUUUUUAUUUUUUAAUUUUUUUAGCCUAAAACGAGUCUAAACUUGAAAACCUCAUAACUUUUGAACCGUGAGGAACUACGUCGCCCAUAGCACCAUUUCGGAAAGCCCCAGAAACCAUAAUGGGCGGUGAAUAGGGGGCGCAAUUUUCGGGCUCAAAUUCAGCCGUUUUGACCCUCAAACGGGCUGCGGAAAGUUAUGGCACGUAAAAAAGAUCGAAAGCGGAUUCUCAAGGUGUUUUUAAUGCUUUCUUAACGCCGUUAACCUCGAUGCACUUUUUCGCUCGAAACAAAACGGCAAGAAAUCAUGCGCGCCCCACGGCCUUACACUUGGAUUGGCCGCGAAAAGGAUAUAUAGAAACGAGAGUGAUGUACUGACGGGUGCGAUCAUACCAGCACUAAUGCACCGGAUCCCAUCAGAACUCCGCAGUUAAGCGUGCUUGGGCGAGAGUAGUAGUACUAGGAUGGGUGACCUCCCGGGAAGUCCUCGUGUUGCACCCCUUUUAUUUUUUAAUUUUUUUUUGCCUAAAACGAGUCUAAACUUGAAAAACCUCAUAACUUUUGAACCGUGAGGAACUACGUCGCCCAUAGCACCAUUUCGGAAAGCCCCAGAAACCAUAAUGGGCGGUGAGGUGAAUAGGGGGCGCAAUUUUUCGGGCUCAAAUUCAGCCGUUUGACCCUCAAACGGGCUGCGGGCGGAAAGUUAUGGCACGUAAAAAAGAUCGAAAGCGGAUUCUCAAGGUGUUUUUGAUGCUUUCUAACGCCGUUAACCUCGAUGCACUUUUUCGCUCGAAACAAAACGGCAAGAAAAUCAUGCGGCCCCACGGCCUUACACUUGGAUUGGCCGCGAAAAGGAUAUAUAGAAACGAGAGUGAUGUACUGACGGGUGCGAUCAUACCAGCACUAAUGCACGGAUCCCAUCAGAACUCCGCAGUUAAGCGUGCUUGGGCGAGAGUAGUACUAGGAUGGGGACCUCCCGGGAAGUCCUCGUGUUGCACCCCUUUUUAUUUUUUAAUUUUUUUUUAGCCUAAAACGAGUCUAAACUUGAAAACCUCAUAACUUUUGAACCGUGAGGAACUACGUCGCCCAUAGCACCAUUUCGGAAAGCCCCAGAAACCAUAAUGGCGGGUGAUGAAGGGGCGCAAUUUUCGGGCUCAAAUUCAGCCGUUUUGACCCUCAAACGGGCUGCGGAAAGUUAUGGCACGUAAAAAAGAUCGAAAGCGGAUUCUCAAGGUGUUUUUGAUGCUUUCUUAACGCCGUUAACCUCGAUGCACUUUUUCGCUCGAAACAAAACGGCAAGAAAAUCAUGCGCGCCCCCACGGCCUUACACUUGGAUUGGCCGCGCGAAAAGGAUAUAUAGAAACGAGAGUGAUGUACUGUCGGGUGCGAUCAUACCAGCACUAAUGCACCGGAUCCCAUCAGAACUCCGCAGUUAAGCGUGCUUGGGCGAGAGUAGUACUAGGAUGGGUGACCUCCCGGGAAGUCCUCGUGUUGCACCCCUUUUUAUUUUUUAAUUUUUUUUAGCCUAAAACGAGUAUAAACUUGAAAACCUGAAACUUUUGAACCGUGAGGAACUACGUCGCCCAUAGCACCAUUUCGGAGAGCCCCAGAAACCAUAAUGGGCGGUGAAUAGGGGGCGCAAUUUUUCGGGCUCAAAUUCAGCCGUUUUGACCCUCAAACGGGCUGCGGAAAGUUAUGGCACGUAAAAAAGAUCGAAAGCGGAUUCUCAAGGUGUUUUUGAUGCUUUCUUAACGCCGUUAACCUCGAUGCACUUUUUCGCUCGAAACAAAACGGCAAAAAAAAUCAUGUGGGCCCCACGGCCUUACACUUGGAUUGGCCGGGGAAAGGAUAUAUAGAAACGAGAGUGAUGUACUGACGGGUGCGAUCAUACCAGCACUAAUGCACCGGAUCCCAUCAGAACUCCGCAGUGAAGCGUGCUUGGGCGAGAGUAGUAUUAGGAUGGGUGACCUCCCGGGAAGUCCUCGUGUUGCACCCCUUUUUAUUUUAUAAUUUUUUUUUAGCCUAAAACGAGUCUAAACUUGAAAACCUCAUAACUUUUGAACCGUGAGGAACUACGUCGCCCAUAGCACCAUUUCGGAAAGCCCCAGAAACCAUAAUGGUGGUGCGGUGAAUAGGGGGCAAUCGCAAUUUUUCGGGCUCAAAUUCAGCCGUUUUGACCCUCAAACGGGCUGCGGAAAGUUAUGGCACGUAAAAAAGAUCGAAAGCGGAUUCUCAAGGUGUUUUUGAUGCUUUCUUAACGCCGUUAACCUCGAUGCACUUUUUCGCUCGAAACAAAACGGCAAGAAAAUCAUGCGCGCCCCCACGGCCUUACACUUGGAUUGGCCGCGAAAAGGAUAUAUAGAAACGAGAGUGAUGUACUGACGGGUGCGAUCAUACCAGCACUAAUGCACCGGAUCCCAUCAGAACUCAGCAGUUAAGCGUGCUUGGGCGAGAGUAGUACUAGGAUGGGUGACCUCCCGGGAAGUCCUG